UACGAAGGGGGCUAGCGUUGUUCGGAUUUACUGGGCGUAAAGCGCACGUAGGCGGAUCGAUCAGUCAGGGGUGAAAUCCCGGGGCUCAACCCCGGAACUGCCUUUGAUACUGUCGAUCUGGAGUAUGGAAGAGGUGAGUGGAAUUCCGAGUGUAGAGGUGAAAUUCGUAGAUAUUCGGAGGAACACCAGUGGCGAAGGCGGCUCACUGGUCCAUUACUGACGCUGAGGUGCGAAAGCGUGGGGAGCAAACAGG
rnacentral:rRNA from 1 species